AUUGAACGCUGGCGGCAUGCCUUACACAUGCAAGUCGAACGGCAGCACGGGUGCUUGCACCUGGUGGCGAGUGGCGAACGGGUGAGUAAUACAUCGGAACGUACCUUAUCGUGGGGGAUAACGCAGCGAAAGUUGCGCUAAUACCGCAUACGCCCUGAGGGGGAAAGCGGGGGACCGUAAGGCCUCGCGCGAUUAGAGCGGCGGAUGUCUGAUUAGCUUGUUGGUGAGGUAAAAGCUCACCAAGGCGAUGAUCAGUAGCUGGUCUGAGAGGACGAUCAGCCACACUGGGACUGAGACACGGCCCAGACUCCUACGGGAGGCAGCAGUGGGGAAUUUUGGACAAUGGGGGCAACCCUGAUCCAGCAAUGCCGCGUGAGUGAAGAAGGCCUUCGGGUUGUAAAGCUCUUUUGUCAGGGAAGAAACAGCAGCUCUAACACAGUCUGCUAAUGACGGUACCUGAAGAAUAAGCACCGGCUAACUACGUGCCAGCCGCCGCGGUAA
rnacentral:rRNA from 1 species